rnacentral:snoRNA from 11 species
AAGACUAUACUUUCAGGGAUCAUUUCUAUAGUUUGUGACUUGAGAAAUGUGUUUCUAAAGUGUUUGGUCUCGCUAACCACGAUGAUGAGCUGGGAUGUUCUCUUCUGAGCGUGAAGCGGACGGAGAAUAAUGAUUCACUUCAUACGUUCUCCGUCAUUGAUGAUCGUUCUUUGCUUCCUUGUGGAGCAUUGAGGAGGAGAGCAUGAUCAGAGUGGUU